CAGGACGAACGCUGGCGGCGUGCCUAAUACAUGCAAGUUGAGCGCUGAAGGUUGGUACUUGUACCAACUGGAUGAGCAGCGAACGGGUGAGUAACGCGUGGGGAAUCUGCCUUUGAGCGGGGGACAACAUUUGGAAACGAAUGCUAAUACCGCAUAAAAACUUUAAACACAAGUUUUAAGUUUGAAAGAUGCAAUUGCAUCACUCAAAGAUGAUCCCGCGUUGUAUUAGCUAGUUGGUGAGGUAAAGGCUCACCAAGGCGAUGAUACAUAGCCGACCUGAGAGGGUGAUCGGCCACAUUGGGACUGAGACACGGCCCAAACUCCUACGGGAGGCAGCAGUAGGGAAUCUUCGGCAAUGGACGAAAGUCUGACCGAGCAACGCCGCGUGAGUGAAGAAGGUUUUCGGAUCGUAAAACUCUGUUGGUAGAGAAGAACGUUGGUGAGAGUGGAAAGCUCAUCAAGUGACGGUAACUACCCAGAAAGGGACGGCUAACUACGUGCCAGCAGCCGCGGUAAUACGUAGGUCCCGAGCGUUGUCCGGAUUUAUUGGGCGUAAAGCGAGCGCAGGUGGUUUAUUAAGUCUGGUGUAAAAGGCAGUGGCUCAACCAUUGUAUGCAUUGGAAACUGGUAGACUUGAGUGCAGGAGAGGAGAGUGGAAUUCCAUGUGUAGCGGUGAAAUGCGUAGAUAUAUGGAGGAACACCGGUGGCGAAAGCGGCUCUCUGGCCUGUAACUGACACUGAGGCUCGAAAGCGUGGGGAGCAAACAGGAUUAGAUACCCUGGUAGUCCACGCCGUAAACGAUGAGUGCUAGAUGUAGGGAGCUAUAAGUUCUCUGUAUCGCAGCUAACGCAAUAAGCACUCCGCCG
rnacentral:rRNA from 1 species